rnacentral:rRNA from 1 species
UUAAGCGACUAAGCGUACACGGUGGAUGCCCUGGCAGUCAGAGGCGAUGAAGGACGUGCUAAUCUGCGAUAAGCGUCGGUAAGGUGAUAUGAACCGUUAUAACCGGCGAUUUCCGAAUGGGGAAACCCAGUGUGAUUCGUCACACUAUCAUUAACUGAAUCCAUAGGUUAAUGAGGCGAACCGGGGGAACUGAAACAUCUAAGUACCCCGAGGAAAAGAAAUCAACCGAGAUUCCCCCAGUAGCGGCGAGCGAACGGGGAGGAGCCCAGAGCCUGAAUCAGUGUGUGUGUUAGUGGAAGCGUCUGGAAAGGCGCGCGAUACAGGGUGACAGCCCCGUACACAAAAAUGCACAUGCUGUGAGCUCGAUGAGUAGGGCGGGACACGUGGUAUCCUGUCUGAAUAUGGGGGGACCAUCCUCCAAGGCUAAAUACUCCUGACUGACCGAUAGUGAACCAGUACCGUGAGGGAAAGGCGAAAAGAACCCCGGCGAGGGGAGUGAAAAAGAACCUGAAACCGUGUACGUACAAGCAGUGGGAGCACAGAGCAAUCUGUGUGACUGCGUACCUUUUGUAUAAUGGGUCAGCGACUUAUAUUCUGUAGCAAGGUUAACCGAAUAGGGGAGCCGAAGGGAAACCGAGUCUUAACUGGGCGUUAAGUUGCAGGGUAUAGACCCGAAACCCGGUGAUCUAGCCAUUGGCAGGUUGAAGGUUGGGUAACACUAACUGGAGGACCGAACCGACUAAUGUUGAAAAAUUAGCGGAUGACUUGUGGCUGGGGGUGAAAGGCCAAUCAAACCGGGAGAUAGCUGGUUCUCCCCGAAAGCUAUUUAGGUAGCGCCUCGUGAAUUCAUCUCCGGGGGUAGAGCACUGUUUCGGCAAGGGGGUCAUCCCGACUUACCAACCCGAUGCAAACUGCGAAUACCGGAGAAUGUUAUCACGGGAGACACACGGCGGGUGCUAACGUCCGUCGUGAAGAGGGAAACAACCCAGACCGCCAGCUAAGGUCCCAAAGUCAUGGUUAAGUGGGAAACGAUGUGGGAAGGCCCAGACAGCCAGGAUGUUGGCUUAGAAGCAGCCAUCAUUUAAAGAAAGCGUAAUAGCUCACUGGUCGAGUCGGCCUGCGCGGAAGAUGUAACGGGGCUAAACCAUGCACCGAAGCUGCGGCAGCGACACUGUGUGUUGUUGGGUAGGGGAGCGUUCUGUAAGCCUGUGAAGGUGUGCUGUGAGGCAUGCUGGAGGUAUCAGAAGUGCGAAUGCUGACAUAAGUAACGAUAAAGCGGGUGAAAAGCCCGCUCGCCGGAAGACCAAGGGUUCCUGUCCAACGUUAAUCGGGGCAGGGUGAGUCGACCCCUAAGGCGAGGCCGAAAGGCGUAGUCGAUGGGAAACAGGUUAAUAUUCCUGUACUUGGUGUUACUGCGAAGGGGGGACGGAGAAGGCUAUGUUGGCCGGGCGACGGUUGUCCCGGUUUAAGCGUGUAGGCUGGUUUUCCAGGCAAAUCCGGAAAAUCAAGGCUGAGGCGUGAUGACGAGGCACUACGGUGCUGAAGCAACAAAUGCCCUGCUUCCAGGAAAAGCCUCUAAGCAUCAGGUAACAUCAAAUCGUACCCCAAACCGACACAGGUGGUCAGGUAGAGAAUACCAAGGCGCUUGAGAGAACUCGGGUGAAGGAACUAGGCAAAAUGGUGCCGUAACUUCGGGAGAAGGCACGCUGAUAUGUAGGUGAAGUCCCUCGCGGAUGGAGCUGAAAUCAGUCGAAGAUACCAGCUGGCUGCAACUGUUUAUUAAAAACACAGCACUGUGCAAACACGAAAGUGGACGUAUACGGUGUGACGCCUGCCCGGUGCCGGAAGGUUAAUUGAUGGGGUCAGCGCAAGCGAAGCUCUUGAUCGAAGCCCCGGUAAACGGCGGCCGUAACUAUAACGGUCCUAAGGUAGCGAAAUUCCUUGUCGGGUAAGUUCCGACCUGCACGAAUGGCGUAAUGAUGGCCAGGCUGUCUCCACCCGAGACUCAGUGAAAUUGAACUCGCUGUGAAGAUGCAGUGUACCCGCGGCAAGACGGAAAGACCCCGUGAACCUUUACUAUAGCUUGACACUGAACAUUGAGCCUUGAUGUGUAGGAUAGGUGGGAGGCUUUGAAGUGUGGACGCCAGUCUGCAUGGAGCCGACCUUGAAAUACCACCCUUUAAUGUUUGAUGUUCUAACGUGGACCCGUGAUCCGGGUUGCGGACAGUGUCUGGUGGGUAGUUUGACUGGGGCGGUCUCCUCCUAAAGAGUAACGGAGGAGCACGAAGGUUGGCUAAUCCUGGUCGGACAUCAGGAGGUUAGUGCAAUGGCAUAAGCCAGCUUGACUGCGAGCGUGACGGCGCGAGCAGGUGCGAAAGCAGGUCAUAGUGAUCCGGUGGUUCUGAAUGGAAGGGCCAUCGCUCAACGGAUAAAAGGUACUCCGGGGAUAACAGGCUGAUACCGCCCAAGAGUUCAUAUCGACGGCGGUGUUUGGCACCUCGAUGUCGGCUCAUCACAUCCUGGGGCUGAAGUAGGUCCCAAGGGUAUGGCUGUUCGCCAUUUAAAGUGGUACGCGAGCUGGGUUUAGAACGUCGUGAGACAGUUCGGUCCCUAUCUGCCGUGGGCGCUGGAGAACUGAGGGGGGCUGCUCCUAGUACGAGAGGACCGGAGUGGACGCAUCACUGGUGUUCGGGUUGUCAUGCCAAUGGCACUGCCCGGUAGCUAAAUGCGGAAGAGAUAAGUGCUGAAAGCAUCUAAGCACGAAACUUGCCCCGAGAUGAGUUCUCCCUGACCCUUUAAGGGUCCUGAAGGAACGUUGAAGACGACGACGUUGAUAGGCCGGGUGUGUAAGCGCAGCGAUGCGUUGAGCUAACCGGUACUAAUGAACCGUGAGGCUUAACCUU